GACGAACGCUGGCGGCGUGCUUAACACAUGCAAGUCAACUGUGGCGGACGGGUGAGUAACGCGUAAAGAACUUGCCUCACAGCUAGGGACAACAUUUGGAAACGAAUGCUAAUACCUGAUACUGUGAGAGAGCUUUGCGUCCCAUUAGCUAGUUGGAGAGGUAACGGCUCACCAAGGCGAUGAUGGGUAGCCGGCCUGAGAGGGUGAACGGCCACAAGGGGAUUGAUGCACAGGCCAUACUGCUACGGGCGGGAGCAGUAGGGAAUAGUGGACAAUGGACCAAAGUCUGAGCCAGCAAUUCUGUGUGCACGAUGAAGUUUUCGGAAUGUAAAGUGCUUUCAGUAGGGAAGCGGUACCAACAGAAGAAGUAACGGCUAAAUACGUGCCAGCAGCCGCGGUAAUAC
rnacentral:rRNA from 1 species